GAUGAGCGCUGGCGGCGUGCCUGAUACAUGCAAGUCGGACGCAAUGCUUCGGCAUUGAGUGGCGAACGGGUGAGUAAUACAUAAGCAACCUGCCCCUGUGAGGGGGAUAACUGCUGGAAACGGCAGCUAAGACCGCAUAGGCAUACAUGACGCAUGUCGAGUAUGUUAAAUAUCCUACGGGAUAGCACAGGGAUGGGCUUAUGACGCAUUAGCCAGCUGGUGAGGUAGAGGCUCACCAGGGCGACGAUGCGUAGCCGGCCUGAGAGGUUGACCGGCCACAUUGGGACUGAGAUACGGCCCAG
rnacentral:rRNA from 1 species